CACAUGACUCUCGGCAACGGAUAUCUCAGCUCUCGCAUCGAUGAAGAACGUAGCGAAAUGCAAUACCUGGUGCGAAUUGCAGAAUCUCGUGAACCAUCGAGUCUUUGAACGCAAGUUGCGCCCGAGGCCACUUGGCCGAGGGCACGCCUGCCUGGGCGUCACGC
rnacentral:rRNA from 1 species